AGUGAACGCUGGCGGUAGGCCUAACACAUGCAAGUCGAACGGCAGCACAGUAAGAUCUUGCUCUUACGGGUGGCGAGUGGCGGACGGGUGAGGAAUACAUCGGAAUCUACUUUUUCGUGGGGGAUAACGUAGGGAAACUUACGCUAAUACCUCAUACGACCUACGGGUGAAAGCAGGGGAUCUUCAGACCUUUCGCGAUUGAAUGAGCCGAUGUCGGAUUAGCUAGUUGGCGGGGUAAAGGCCCACCAAGGCGACGAUCCGUAGCUGGUCUGAGAGGAUGAUCAGACAAACUGGAACUGAGACACGGUCCAGACUCCUACGGGAGGCAGCAGUGGGGAAUAUUGGACAAUGGGCGAAAGCAUGAUCCAGCAAUACCGCGUGGGUGAAGAAGGCCUUCGGGUUGUAAAGCCCUUUUGUUGGGAAAGAAAAGCAGCAGGUUAAUACCCCGCUGUUCUGACGGUACCCAAAGAAUAAGCACCGGCUAACUUCGUG
rnacentral:rRNA from 1 species